GUUUUGACAGCACGGGUACCCCAACUCUUGUGGCAUAAUUAAAGUGGUACCCAGACUUUAAAAACUAUCAAUGUGAUACCCAAACUUUGUUUUUGCUAUCAAGGAAAUGCCCACGGCCAAUUUCCGUCACGGUGUCGUAUGUUUGCUGACGUGACCAGCAUCGGGUCCAUAAAAAAAAGGCAAAAACGACAUUUUACACAGACGACACCCUAAUCGAGUCAAAACUCGACCUCCCCCCUUUCCGCCCCUCCCCUCCCUUAAUCAACUAAAAUCACAAUAAACCUAUGGUGGAAGGCCAGAGAAACGAAGGAGAGAAGGUGGUUGCCUCUCCGAUCCCCCCUCCUUAUCAACUAAAAUCACAAUUAACCUGUGGUGGAAGGUCAGAGAAAAGAAGGAGAGAAGGUGGUUGCCUCUCCGA
rnacentral:lncRNA from 1 species